GUCAGCACAGAGCCUGACGCGGGGCUGGAACCCACGAAGGAGGACCUCUUUAGGAGAGAAUGUGGGUCUGAGACCAAGGUGACGCGGAAGUCUCCUGUGUAGAAGCAGACGGAAAAGACUGGCUGGGACAAGGCCAGAAGAUGGGGACUGAACCUGGCAUGCUGAAGGGGCAGAAGGAAGACCAGUGCGGCUGGAGCCUGGGGUCCAGGGUGGAGAGGAAUGGGAGGGGCUGAGGUCACGGAUAGCCGGGUCAGGUCACUGGGCUUGGUAGGGACAAGAGGUGGGGGUUUGAUCCUAAGGACAACAACUUCAGAGGGAGUAUGCAAAGCUAGACAUUUUCAGUUCAUUGUUUUGUAAACAAGUAGAAUAUAAAGCUUACUCUGUACUGA